UUUUGUUAAGUGAACGAUUUUGAAAAUCGAUCCAGAGGUAAAUCAAGAGAAUCUCAACAAAAAA
rnacentral:tRNA from 1 species